AUUGAACGCUGGCGGCAGGCCUAACACAUGCAAGUCGAGCGGAUGAAGGGAGCUUGCUCCUGGAUUCAGCGGCGGACGGGUGAGUAAUGCCUAGGAAUCUGCCUGGUAGUGGGGGAUAACGUCCGGAAACGGGCGCUAAUACCGCAUACGUCCUGAGGGAGAAAGUGGGGGAUCUUCGGACCUCACGCUAUCAGAUGAGCCUAGGUCGGAUUAGCUAGUUGGUGGGGUAAAGGCCUACCAAGGCGACGAUCCGUAACUGGUCUGAGAGGAUGAUCAGUCACACUGGAACUGAGACACGGUCCAGACUCCGACGGGAGGCAGCAGUGGGAAUAUUGGACAAUGGGCGAAAGCCUGAUCCAGCCAUGCCGCGUGUGUGAAGAAGGUCUUCGGAUUGUAAAGCACUUUAAGUUGGGAGGAAGGGCAGUAAGUUAAUACCUUGCUGUUUUGACGUUACCAACAGAAUAAGCACCGGCUAACUUCGUG
rnacentral:rRNA from 1 species